UCUGGAUAAUUGUUAUCAAUUGGAAGCUGUUCUUGCAAAACAGCAAGAAGGAGAAGAAACCAUUGAGAAUUUGGUGUUCUCUCAACUAAGAGUGCUUUCACUAUAAGACCUUCCCAACCUUACAGGUUUUUGCACGGAUUGUACCUUGACUUUCAAAUGGCCAUCCUUGGAAAAGGUGGAGGUGGCUCUCUGUCCCCAAAUGCAGAUGUUUACUGCUGUUGUGGCUUCUGAUGGAGACUCGAGCACACCAAAGUUGAAGAUGAUCAAGGUGGAUGGUGUUAACAUAAUGCUUGAUGGAACAGACAUAAACAGAGUUAUGCAAGGCCACUAUAGAGGCAAGGGAACUGCAGGUCCUAGUAACUGACCAUAAAAGCUGUGUCCAGGGAACACAAAUAAAAUGGAAGGGUAUUGUAUAAACUUGUUGAUGUUCUCAUUUAUCUGACUAGGAGUUUUUAUUAUUGGAUUUGUCCCCUUCUAAAAUAUUGUUGUUAUUGUUGCUAUAUUUUUUUGUUCCAGUGCUAGGUUAUUUCUAUUUUGAAGGCCAAGCUCUCUUCUCAUGACACCACUGCUGCAAAAGAGGCUCUUCGCAGUGUUUCUAGUUUGAGAAGCAUGAUAAUUAUGAGCUUUUGCUUAUUGGUACUAGAGUUAUCUAAAGAGUUACUAGGUCUUGAGUUCGAAUCCUAAUUAAAACUAAACGAAUAAAAAAGAAUCAAGGAGCAUGAUAUUUAGCAUUAAAUAAAGGCCAUAAAUCUAUCAUAGAUAAUGAUUGGAUAUGUGUUGCUUGCUCUUUGUAAUCAGUUGACUUCUUGUAAUUUCUUGUUCUUCAAAGCAUGCUAUUUUUAUUGUUAGUCUCUUUUCCAUCAUUCUAUUAUGCUCCUUGAUAAUUUUCAUAAGCAUGAUACCACAAAGCACAUAUUAAUUAGAACCAGCCUACAGAGGGUUAAUUUGCAAAUUAUAGGGGGCAAUGAAUGUAUUAAGCCUAUAAUUUAUGAGUCCAUUAGUCACAAAUUGGUAAUCUGUGAAUAAAUGGAUAUGUGUAGUGUGUGUGCUCUUCAUAAUCAGUUGUGCAAAUGUCUUUUUGUAUUCUGUAAAGCUAUUCUUAACCUCAUCAUAUUAGAGAAUUACAUAUUUAAAGAAAAGCCUGUGUUUUACUUUUGAUAUUGAGUUGCUGUUGAAAAUAUUUGUAGAUUUUUAUAACUUAUAAUGCAUUGUACUUCUUCUUCAGGUAAUUGAUUUCUCCAGUUUAUUUUCAUGAUGGUCUUGGAAUUCCAGGUCAGGUUAUUGUAGCAAACUCGAUCAGAUGGAAUUCUCAUAGACAUGUAAAAUAAUAAUGAUAAAAACUAUCAUUAUUAAAAAUCUUUAUGCAUACUGCAUUUUAUUGUGCUUUUCUCACAGCCAUUGUUUAUAUAAUUAUAAGGGAUUAGUCUCGGUGUGCAUAAGCUACUCCGAGGAUACUCCUAACCGUAGAAAGACUAAAAAUUGAAUGUUGGUUACUAAAAGCAAGAAAGAAAGAGAACGGUUGCAUCUCUGCAAUAUCAUCACGCACAGCGCCUUAUAAUUUUACAAGUGUUGACGCUUCUAAACCUCAGCACCUACAGAAGUAGAAAAUCUUAGAACUCAGUUAUCAACUAUUGACGCUAUAUAUAGAGAGAGAUUUAUUAAUUAGCUCUUGCUCAAAUGAAAAGAAAGAAAAAAUAAAAUAUCACCUGCUAACUCAGUCGAACAUUUUAACUCAGUCGAACAUUUCGCCAUCAGGGGCUGUUAACUUGUCUCUGAUCAAACAGAGCUUUUUGGCAGCAUCACUGAUGUCCAUUCGGUUCGCUGGCAAUUCAGCAGAGCAAUUCCGAUUCCAACCAUGGAAAUCAAACAUUCCAUCGUAGUUCUAUUAUCUCUUCCGCUCCUUGGAUUCUCUGAAUGGCUUUCUCCCUGAAAAAGAAUUGGAUCUACAAUCUCAUCCACUCUAUUUGGUAAAGCUGAUUCUGCAAAUUUGUGAAGGUUCCAACCUUCUUUAAAUAUGUUAUCCGUGGGCCUCUUCCCCGUAAACAUCUCCAGCAAGAGAACACCAUAACUAUAAACAUCACCAUAGGUUGAAACUUCACUUCCUAAUCCAUAUUCUGGAGGAGCAUAACCAAUAGUUCCCCGUAAUCCAAUAGAACUGAAUUGAUUAGUAGAAUUAUUCUGGAUGUUUUCCAAAAGGAAUUUUGCUAGUCCAAAGUCACCAAUAUGGGCAGUCAUUUCAUCAUCGAGUAGAACAUUGCUCGGUUUGAGAUCACAAUGAACUAUUGGAUUUCCACAAUGAUGAUGGAGAUAUUCAAGUGCAGACGCAACAUCAAUAGCAAUAUUUACCCUCUGAAGAAGAUUUAAAUGUUUUGGCGCCUCAUGGUUGCCAUCUUCUGUGAUAGGUGGAUGCAACCACUCCUCUAGACUUCCAUUGACCAUGAACUCAUAUACCAAAGCCUUGAAGUCAUUGCCUUGAUAGUCUAUGGUUGAACAUGCAGUUACCAGCUUCACAAGGUUUCUAUGUCUGAUACAUCUCAUUGCUUCACAUUCAGCCAUGAAGCCUUUCUCUGCUUUGUGAUGCUGUAGAUUAAGCACCUUAACCGCCAUAGUUGGCCCUCCUCGUUCAAGAAUUCCUUUAUAUACAGUACCAAAGUUGCCAACACCGAUUAAAUUUGUAGAGGAGAAGCCAUUUGUAGCAUCAUGGAGAUUUCGGUAGGACACUCUCAAAAGUGAAUUUCCUGAAGACGAGGAAGGAAGAGACUGAUUUUUCUUUCUGAACCUCAAGAUAAACAUGAAAGACAAUAUCAGAGCUGUCCCUAUAAGGCCUGCCAUGGUAGAAAUAAUUGCCUUUAAUUUAACUGUCAGUCUCCUAUUCACAGACUUUCUGAAGUUGCACACAGGUAAAUGGAACUGAGGUAUUCCUCCACAAAGCUUGUUAUUUCCCACAAUGAAAGUGGCACUUGCAUUUUGGAAAACUCCUUUCAUUGGAACUACGCCUUCAAAAUCAUUGAAAGAUAUGUUCAAAUAAAGAAGAAAAUAAAAGGUAGCCAAAAAUUCAGGAAUUUCACCUGAAAAAUUGUUGUGAGAAAAAUCCAUAACUUGAAGACCUCUCAAUGAACUCAGGGAAGCAGGAAUAGGCCCUUGAAAAGAAUUUCCCUGCAGUUUUAAGAUUUCCAAUCUUAUACAGCUGCCAAGAGUGCUUGGAAUUUCCCCAGACAACACAUUAUCAUAUAAGGAAAGCUCGCCAAGGUUUUUCAAAUUUCCAACAUUGAUAGGAACAGAACCUAUCAAAUGAUUCUGAGACAGGUCAAGAUAGAUUGAUAAGGACAAGAUAUCAGUAAUUUCUGGGGGAAUGGUGCCGCUAAGACUAUUUCUUGAAAUAUCAACUGCUAACAAAUUUUGACAAUUACCCAAACUUGAAGGAAUGUUGCCCUGAAGGUUAUUGUCAUAUAAAUUCAGGUGGGUUAACAGCGUCAAAUUGCCUAGAGAAUAAGGGAUUUCUCCUGAGAAUUUGUUCUGAUCCAACUGCAGAAACACUAGCUUUUGUAACUUUCCAAGAAAAUGGGGUAAGUUACCUGAUAACUGGUUGUUCCACAUGUCAAGUUCUUCAAGAUUGACAAGAUUGCUUACCCCAGCUGGCAAGCUUCCAAAUAUCAGAUUGUUAUCUGCGUAAAAAAGUUUAGUAGUAGUUGACAAGUUACUGAUGCAUUCAGGAAAAAUCCCUCCAAAUCUAUUGCGAUUUAUGGCCAAGAUUCGAAACUUGGUGGCAUUUAUCAAAGAGCACAGGAAAUUUAAGUCAUUGAUACCUGCACUUCCAAGAUGAUUGCCACUGAUGCUCAACAUUUCAAACAUAGGCAGGUUUUCUAAUGAAGGAACUUGUCCUGUAAGUUUGUUUUCAGGAAACUGAAGUAAUAUCAGGUUGGAGGCAUUGGAUAUUGAAGCAGGAAUAGGCCCAGUAAAUUGGUUAAAGGCGAUAUCAAGGUUUUGAAUGUUAGGAAGAGUGAUGCCCAAACUGGAUGGAAGACUCCCCUGAAUUUGGUUAUCUCCAACUAUGAUGUGUCGAAGAGAAGUGAGAUUGAAGAUAGAUGGAGGAAUGUUUCCGGACAAUCCAGUAUUCUUCACGAACAAGUAAGCAAGAUUUGACAAUCGGCCUAGGGCAUCAGGAAUGCUUCCUCCCAAACUAUUUUCAUUCAGAGAAAGUAGCUUAAGAGAUGACAAGUUUCCAAAAGAAGAAGGGAUGCCUCCUGUUAGAUUGUUUUUAUAUGCAGCAAAGUAUACGAGCUUUAACAACGAGCUGAACUCACCAGGGAUUUCUCCUGUCAGAUGGUUUCCGCCAAGAUGGAAAUAAUUAAGGUUAGAGCAACUAGAUAUAUUUGAAGGAAUUUUUCCACCAAUUGAAUUAUUAGUCAGCCUUAAUUCUUGUAAUCUGCGUAAACGGCCAAUCUCUGGAGGAAUUUCAUGACUAAGGGUAUUAUUUUGAAGAUUUAAUACCCUCAGAAAGCUCAAAUUUCCAACAUGAGGAGAUAUGGAACCGGCAAGUUUCAAGGAACUUAAGUCCAAAAUGGUAACUCGCCUAUGUCGACGACCACAUGCAACACCAUACCACUUGCAGAAAUGAGUAUUAGCAUUCCAUGAGCUAAAAACCCCAAAGGGAUCAUCAGUUAUUUUGGCCUUGAGAUUCAGCAAUGCAAGUUGAUCUGUUUCAUUUCGACUUGCUAUAGAAGUUGCUAGAGAAAGAAAGUCAGUGGUAGUUGAUGCAAAGAAAGAGAGAAGAAAGAUGCUUGUAUAGAUGCAGAGCAUUGUGCAGGGCAGUGUUAAGCCCAUGUGGGAUAGACUCAUCAAUCGAUUAAUCUUUUUGUUGGUUAUUUGGCUGCUUGUGUUCAGUGACAUUCCCUGACCAAGGAGAACUUCAAGGGAAGUAUAUACAAUAGUAAAGAAGUGGGGAAUCAUAAAAUUCUUCGAAUUCUGAUUUCUUUAUGAUAAAAUCAUCUUGUCUGAAUUCCAUUAUAGGCCCCACAAUGACUUAGAUAUCAUACGAAGUAAAGUCCAGUCAAGUAGCAAGUGAACCACUACUUUUAUUUUUCCAGCUUAUGUGAAGUUAUUUCAACCAUUCCAACCAAUAACCAAACAUUGACACUAGAAUGAGUGUUUGCCUUAUCUUGGGGUUCACGGUGGAGAAAUAAUAACACAUGAAGCACAAUACAUACGUUAACCCUUCUACUUUGGCAGCAAAAAGUCAUCAAAGAAAAUGAGUGGACAACUUGUUAAAAGACUUGAACUCCAUAAAGAAGUUAAGGAUAAAGACUAAAAACUUAGAAAUGCGCCUGGGAGAGGGAAGAUUGAUGGGGACAACAAAUCAAUCAAAGGGAGUGGGAUGUAUUCUUUUAAUGCAGGCUUUAUUUUGCCUCUUUCUUU
rnacentral:misc_RNA from 1 species